rnacentral:rRNA from 1 species
GACGAACGCUGGCGGCGUGCUUAACACAUGCAAGUCGAACGGAAAGGCCCUGCUUUUGUGGGGUGCUCGAGUGGCGAACGGGUGAGUAACACGUGAGUAACCUGCCCUUGACUUUGGGAUAACUUCAGGAAACUGGGGCUACUACCGGAUAGGAGCUCCUGCUGCAUGGUGGGGGUUGGAAAGUUUCGGCGGUUGGGGAUGGACUCGCGGCUUAUCAGCUUGUUGGUGGGGUAGUGGCUUACCCAGGCUUUGACGGGUAGCCGGCCUGAGAGGGUGACCGGCCACAUGGGGACUGAGAUACGGCCCAGACUCCUACGGGAGGCAGCGGUGGGGAAUAUUGCACAAUGGGCGGAAGCCUGAUGCAGCAACGCCGCGUGCGGGAUGACGGCCUUCGGGUUGUAAACCGCUUUCGCCUGUGACGAAGCGGGAGUGACGGUAAUGGGUAAAGAAGCACCGGCUAACUACGUG